GACGAACGCUGGCGGCGUGCUUAACACAUGCAAGUCGAGCGGUAAGGCCCUUUCGGGGUACACGAGCGGCGAACGGGUGAGUAACACGUGGGUGACCUGCCCUCAGCUCUGGGAUAAGCCUGGGAAACCGGGUCUAAUACUGGAUAUGACUCCAUGACGCAUGUUGUGGGGUGGAAAGCCUUGUGCGGCUGAGGAUGGGCCCGCGGCCUAUCAGCUUGUUGGUGGGGNGAUGGCCGUACCAAGGCGACGACGGGUAGCCGGCCUGAGAGGGCGACCGGCCACACUGGGACUGAGACACGGCCCAGACUCCUACGGGAGGCAGCAGUGGGAAUCUUGCGCAAUGGGCGAAAGCCUGACGCAGCGACGCCGCGUGA
rnacentral:rRNA from 1 species